CAGUCGCCGCGGGAAUACAGAGGGUGCGAGCGUUAAUCGGAUUUACUGGGCGUAAAGCGUGCGUAAGCGGCUUCUUAAGUCGGAUGUGAAAUCCCUGAGCUUAACUUAGGAAUUGCAUUCGAUACUGGGAAGCUAGAGUAUGGGAGAGGAUGGUAGAAUUCCAGGUGUAGCGGUGAAAUGCGUAGAGAUCUGGAGGAAUACCGAUGGCGAAGGCAGCCAUCUGGCCUAAUACUGACGCUGAGGUACGAAAGCAUGGGGAGCAAACAGGAUUAGAUACCCGGGUAGUCCCUGUCUCUUAUAC
rnacentral:rRNA from 1 species